rnacentral:rRNA from 1 species
CCUACGGGAGGCAGCAGUGGGGGAUAUUGCACAAUGUGGGAAACCCUGAUGCAGCGACGCCGCGGGGGGGAAGGAGCGCCUCGGCGCGUAAAGCCCUGUCAGCAGGGAAGAAAAUGACGGUACCUGAAGAAUAAGCCCCGUCUAACUACUGUCCAGCAGACGCGGUACUACGUAGGGGGCCAGCGUUAUCCUGGUUUACUGGGUGUAAAGGGGGCGCAGACGGCGAUGCAAGCCAGGAGUGAAAGCCCGGGGCCCAACCCCGGGACUGCUCUUGGAACUGCGUGGCUAGAGUGCAGGAGGGGCAGGCGGAAUUCCUGGUGUAGCGGGGAAAUGCGUAGAUAUCAGGAGGAACACCGGUGGCGAAGGCGGCCUGCUGGACUGCAACUGACGUUGAGGCCCGAAAGCGUGGGGAGCAAACAGGAUUAGAUACCCCAGUAGUC